rnacentral:tRNA from 6 species
CAGCCGUUCGCGCAGGCUCAGAAGCCCGACGCCGGUACCGUCGCCGCGCGCGGUGCCGGUCGCCGUCGUGGGUUCGAAACCGACGCCGUCGUC